rnacentral:snRNA from 1 species
GUGCUCCUUCGGCAGCACAUACAGUAAAACUGGAACGAUACAGAGAAUAUUAGUGUGGUCCCUGUGCAAGUACGACACAAAUUCAUGAAGCACUCCAUACUUUA